rnacentral:rRNA from 1 species
AAGCGUUGUGAGGCGUUGAGCUAACCUGUACUAAUGACCCGUGAGGCUUAACCAUACAACACCCAAUGGGUUU